rnacentral:rRNA from 1 species
GAUGAACGCUGGCGGCGUGCCUAAUACAUGCAAGUCGAGCGAACUGAUUAGAAGCUUGCUUCUAUGACGUUAGCGGCGGACGGGUGAGUAACACGUGGGCAACCUGCCUGUAAGACUGGGAUAACUUCGGGAAACCGAAGCUAAUACCGGAUAGAAUCUUCUCCUUCAUUGGAGAUGAUUGAAAGAUGGUUUCGGCUAUCACUUACAGAUGGGCCCGCGGUGCAUUAGCUAGUUGGUGAGGUAACGGCUCACCAAGGCAACGAUGCAUAGCCGACCUGGGAGGGUGAUCGGCCACACAGGGACUGAGACCCGGCCCAAACUCCUACGGGAGGCAGCAGUAGGGAAUCUUCCGCAAUGGACGAAAGUCUGACGGAGCAACGCCGCGUGAGUGAUGAAGGCUUUCGGGUCGUAAAACUCUGUUGUUAGGGAAGAACAAGUACGAGAGUAACUGCUCGUACCUUGACGGUACCUAACCAGAAAGCCACGGCUAACUACGUGCCAGCCGCCGCAGUAACAC